rnacentral:rRNA from 1 species
UACGAAGGGGGCUAGCGUUGCUCGGAAUUACUGGGCGUAAAGCGCACGUAGGCGGCUCUUUAAGUCGGGGGUGAAAUCCUGGAGCUCAACUCCAGAACUGCCUUCGAUACUGAAGAGCUCGAGUCCGGGAGAGGUGAGUGGAACUGCGAGUGUAGAGGUGAAAUUCGUAGAUAUUCGCAAGAACACCAGUGGCGAAGGCGGCGGCCUGGGUCUAGACUGACACUGAGGUGCGAAAGCGUGGGGAG